rnacentral:lncRNA from 1 species
UCCGUAUAUAAAAGCAGCGCCAGAAAUUGUGCUUCAUUGUCGAUUUGAGCGCUACAGAAAAUUCAACGAUGAAGUGGAUCGGUUUGACUUUCUUGUUGCUAUCAUCCUUGAUGGUGGCAACAGAAGCGCGACCCCAAGCCAGGUUCCCGCCUCACUUUCCUACAAGAGGGCCCUUCAUCCCUCCAUACCCCUGCAACUGUACGUUCCCACCGUGUCCUUGUGAUCCUCCUAGACCCAUCGACUUCUUAAGGGCCAAGCGACAAGUGUAGAGAGGACUCCGGAGGGCCCUGCGACAAGUGUGAAGAGGACUCCGGAGGGCCCUGCGACAACUGUGAAGAGGACUCCGGGGGGCCCUGCGAGUCUUCGGGAUGCUUUUCCUUGUCGUCCACGUCCUCGGAUUCUCUUAAGUGCUGUUCUUAUACUUUUUCAACUGCCUACGUAAAUUAGGUUUUCCUUUGGUCUGUAAAACGUAUCAGGCGUUCUAUUCGCGUCUUGCUUUUUGAAACUUCCUUCUUGUCAUUGCUACUUAUCAAGUCUUUUCUUUGUGUAAACAUAAGUUAGUAAGGCUCCAUUAGUGCCUGUGGAAAUCAUUGUUUUUUGUUUCUUUACACUACUUAGCAGAGCCUCAUUAGUGUCUGAACGAAUCUUUUCAAUAAACAAGCCAUUGUAUUUUAAACCAUCAACUCAUUACAAGAUUCCUUCAUCAUCAGUCGUAUUUUAUGCAAUCACAACACAGAAGAGGCAAUUAACCCGCUUUACUGUCUUCAAAUAAAUAUUAUCAGUCAAUUCCUUACUUAUUUACAUGUUAUUGUCUAUAUCUAUUUCGCAUUUUCUCUUGAGACCCGACGUGUCAGUUGCUUGAUUUGCAUUUGCAUUUCUUCCAUGAUGUAACUGUAAGACAAAAUAUCACUAACUUAUUCUGUAUAAUAGGCCAUAUCCCCAGCAUGAGCCUAUAACUAUUAUUAAAAUUGCGAAAAAGUA